GAUGAACGCUGGCGGCGUGCCUAAUACAUGCAAGUCGAGCGAACAGAUGAGGAGCUUGCUCCUCUGACGUUAGCGGCGGACGGGUGAGUAACACGUGGAUAACCUACCUAUAAGACUGGGAUAGCUUCGGGAAACCGGAGCUAAUACCGGAUAAUAUAUUGAACCGCAUGGUUCAAUAGUGAAAGACGGUUUUGCUGUCACUUAUAGAUGGAUCCGCGCCGCAUUAGCUAGUUGGUAAGGUAACGGCUUACCAAGGCAACGAUGCGUAGCCGACCUGAGAGGGUGAUCGGCCACACUGGAAGUGAGACAGGGUCCAGACUCCUACGGGAGGCAGCAGUAGGGAAUCUUCCGCAAUGGGCGAAAGCCUGACGGAGCAACGCCGCGUGAGUGAUGAAGGUCUUAGGAUCGUAAAACUCUGUUAUUAGGGAAGAACAAAUGUGUAAGUAACUAUGCACGUCUUGACGGUACCUAAUCAGAAAGCCACGGCUAACUACGUG
rnacentral:rRNA from 1 species